GCAGCCGCCGCGGUAAUACGUAGGGUGCAAGCGUUAAUCGGAAUCACUGGGCGUAGAGCGUGCGCAGGCGGUUCUAUAAGACAGAUGUGAAAUCCCCGGGCUCAACCUGGGAACUGCAUUUGUGACUGUAGAGCUGGAGUGCGGCAGAGGGGGAUGGAAUUCCGCGUGUAGCAGUGAAAUGCGUAGAUAUGCGGAGGAACACCGAUGGCGAAGGCAAUCCCCUGGGCCUGCACUGACGCUCAUGCACGAAAGCGUGGGGAGCAAACAGGAUUAGAUACCCCUGUAGUCCCUGUCUCUUAUAC
rnacentral:rRNA from 1 species